rnacentral:rRNA from 1 species
UACGUAGGGGGCAAGCGUUGUCCGGAAUUAUUGGGCGUAAAGAGCGUGUAGGCGGUCCGGUAAGUCAGCUGUGAAAGUCAAGGGCUCAACCCUUGAAUGCCGGUUGAUACUGUCGGGCUAGAGUCCGGAAGAGGCGAGUGGAAUUCCUGGUGUAGCGGUGAAAUGCGCAGAUAUCAGGAGGAACACCAAUGGCGAAGGCAGCUCGCUGGGACGUGACUGACGCUGAGACGCGAAAGCGUGGGGAGCGAACAGG